ACGUACUGGGAGUAACAAGAGGGAAACGUACUGAUAAUAACUGGANAAGUUAGUAUAUCGCAUGAUAUGCAAAUGAAAGCUACGGCACUAAAGGAGAGCUUUGCGUCCUAUUAGCUAGUUGGUAAGGUAAGAGCUUACCAAGGCGAUGAUAGGUAGCCGGCCUGAGAGGGUGGACGGCCACAAGGGGACUGAGAUACGGCCCUUACUCCUACGGGAGGCAGCAGCU
rnacentral:rRNA from 1 species